rnacentral:rRNA from 1 species
AUUGAACGCUGGCGGCAUGCCUUACACAUGCAAGUCGAACGGCAGCACGGGGGCGAACCCUGGUGGCGAGUGGCGAACGGGUGAGUAAUACAUCGGAACGUGCCCCGUACGCGGGGACGAACCAGUCGAAAGACUGGCUAAUACCGCAUACGCUCCACGGAGGAAAGACAGGGGAGUCGCAAGACCUUGCACUAUGGGAGCGGCCGGAUGCCCGAUUAGCUAGUU